UACAGAGGUCGCAAGCGUUAAUCGGAUUUACUGGGCGUAAAGCGUGUGUAGGUGGUUGUUCAAGUCGGUUGUGAAAUCCCCGGGCUCAACCUGGGAACUGCUUCCGAGACUGAGCGACUAGAGAUCGGUAGAGGGCGGUGGAAUUUCCGGUGUAGCGGUGAAAUGCGUAGAUAUCGGAAGGAACACCAAUGGCGAAGGCAGCCGCCUGGGCCUGAUCUGACACUGAGACACGAAAGCGUGGGGAUCAAACAGG
rnacentral:rRNA from 1 species